GUACUUGCUUCAGCAGCACAUAUGUUAAAAUUGGAAUGAUACAAAAAUUAGCAUGGCCCCUGCUCAAGGAUGACAUACAAAUUAAUGAAGCAUUGCAUAUUUUU
rnacentral:snRNA from 1 species